rnacentral:rRNA from 1 species
GAGUGAAGCGGCAAAAGCUCAAAUUUGAAACCUCCGGGAUUGUAAUUUGAAGAUUUGGCAUUGAGAAAAGCUAACCCAAGUUACUUGGAAUAGUACGUCAUAGAGGGUGACAACCCCGUCUGGCUAACCGUUUCUCAUGUAUUGCCUUAUCAAAGAGUCGAGUUGUUUGGGAAUGCAGCUCAAAGUGGGUGGUAAACUCCAUCUAAAGCUAAAUACUGGUGAGAGACCGAUAGCGAACAAGUACUGUGAAGGAAAGGUGAAAAGAACUUUGAAAAGAGAGUGAAAUAGUAUGUGAAAUUGUUGAUAGGGAAGGGAAUGAGUGUAGAGUGGUUGAGGUUUCAGCUGUCCUUUGGGACUGCGUACUGCCGACGCCGAGUCAUUGUUAGCGGGGGGGKGAGGAAUAAMCGGGUUGCACAUUUGGGCUUUUCMCCUCCCUCASCCCCUGCCAUCGACAACWUAWUACACCCUUUCCWCCCUUCUGG